ensembl:snoRNA SNORA70 Small nucleolar RNA SNORA70
AUGCAGCAAAUUAAGCCAAACAUGCUCUUUUCUUCAUGGGAGCGGCCAGUGUGCAACGGCUGCAAAUAACAUCUCCCUCGAUAGUGUAUACGGCCUGCUGCUCACAUGGGUUGCUCUAAAGGUUGUGGAGACGGCC